GUUGUUUGAUGAAAAAGUAAAAAAAAAAAAAAAAAAAAAAAUGAAAUAAGUAGGGUAUCGUAAAGUAUAAGGACGUACCUGAUCGAAAUAGUGGGGAGUAACGAGUACACGCGAUUCGACCAAUAACGUGUUAGCGUAAGGAGUGGGAGAGAGAGUAAGUGAGAUGGUACAGUGGUAAAGUGGGAGUGUAACGAAGGAAGUUGGCGUUGUCGCCUGGCAGCGCCGCAACGCAUUCGAGGCGAACUAGACGUGUGACACGACGCGCGUCGCGUUCGAGAGAAUAUCCGCAAGAGGCUUUUCUAACCUCGGUACUGGCGCUUAAGCGCGCUCCCGUCGUCGUUUCGUGUGACGUGUUGUGAAACAAGUUGUUGAGAGAGUGAGAGAGAAAGAGAGAGAGAGAGAGAGAGAGUGAGAAAGAGACAGGAUUAUCUUUGUUUUCUUCUUCUUCUUCGUAUUCGUCAUAUUGGAAAUUACUGUGAGAAGAUAGACCAGCUAAAGGAUCAUCGAUUUUACGACUGGUAAUUCGUCUAAUACA